rnacentral:rRNA from 1 species
GACGUAGGGCGCGAGCGUUGUCCGGAUUUAUUGGGCGUAAAGAGCUCGUAGGCGGCUUGUCGCGUCGUCCGUGAAAACUCGGGGCUUAACCCCGAGCCUGCAUUCGAUACGGGCAGGCUAGAGUUCGGCAGGGGAGACUGGAAUUCCUGGUGUAGCGGUGAAAUGCGCAGAUAUCAGGAGGAACACCGGUGGCGAAGGCGGGUCUCUGGGACGUUACUGACACUGAGGCGCGAAAGCGUGGGGAGCGAACAGG